rnacentral:rRNA from 1 species
CCUACGGGUGGGCAGCAGUGAGGAAUAUUGGUCAAUGGCCGAGAGGCUGAACCAGCCAAGUCGCGUGAGGGAAGAAGGCCCUACGGGUUGUAAACCUCUUUUGUCGGGGAGCAAAGAGAGUCACGUGUGACUCAUUGAGAGUACCCGAAGAAAAAGCAUCGGCUAACUCCGUGCCAGAAGCCGCGGUAAUACGGAGGAUGCGAGCGUAAUCGGGAUUAAUUGGGUUUAAAGGGGGCGCAGGGGGAGGUGGAAGUCAGCGGUCAAAUUGCGGGGCUCAACCCCGUACUGCCGUUGAAACUGCAUCCCUUGAGUGCGCGAGAGGUAUGCGGAAUGCGUGGUGUAGCGGUGAAAUGCAUAGAUAUCACGCAGAACUCCGAUUGCGAAGGCAGCAUACCGGCGCGCAACUGACGCUCAUGCACGAAAGCGUGGGUAUCGAACAGGAUUAGAUACCCGUGUAGUA